UCUGUCCUCUGUUGUGACACGGGGUGUCCUCUGAAAGCUCCAGCGUACUGCCAAAUCCUGCAUGUUUUUCUGGAUAUGCUGUGCACUGCUCUGUCUAAACCAC